rnacentral:rRNA from 1 species
GCUUGUCUCAAAGAUUAAGCCAUGCAUGUCUAAGUGUAAAUAAGUCUAUACUGUGAAACUGCGAAUGGCUCAUUAAAUCAGUUAUCGUUUAUUUGAUGAUCUCUUACUACUUGGAUAACCGUAGUAAUUCUAGAGCUAAUACAUGCGUAAAGUCCCAACUCUCGCGGGGAGGGAUGUAUUUAUUAGAUAAAAAACCAAUGCGGCCUCUGGUCGGUAUUGUGGUGAAUCAUAGUAACUUUUCGAAUCGCAUGGCUUCACGCCGGCGAUAGUUCAUUCAAAUUUCUGCCCUAUCAGCUUUCGACGGUAGUGUAGUGGACUACCGUGGCGUUAACGGGUAACGGAGAAUUAGGGUUCGAUUCCGGAGAGGGAGCCUGAGAAACGGCUACCACAUCCAAGGAAGGCAGCAGG